rnacentral:rRNA from 1 species
AGACUUUGAUUCUGGCUCAGAACGAACGCUGGCGGCAGGCCUAACACAUGCAAGUCGAGCGCGCCCUUCGGGGUGAGCGGCGGACGGGUGAGUAACGCGUGGGAACGUGCCCUUUGCUGCGGAAUAGCCACUGGAAACGGUGAGUAAUACCGCAUGAGCCCUUCGGGGGAAAGAUUUAUCGGCAAAGGAUCGGCCCGCGUUGGAUUAGGUAGUUGGUGGGGUAAUGGCCUACCAAGCCGACGAUCCAUAGCUGGUUUUAGAGGAUGAUCAGCCACACUGGGACUGAGACACGGCCCAGACUCCUACGGGAGGCAGCAGUGGGGAAUCUUAGACAAUGGGCGCAAGCCUGAUCUAGCCAUGCCGCGUGAGUGACGAAGGCCCUAGGGUCGUAAAGCUCUUUCGCCUGUGAUGAUAAUGACAGUAGCAGGUAAAGAAACCCCGGCUAACUCCGUGCCAGCAGACGCCGGUCAAUACGGACGGG